rnacentral:rRNA from 1 species
UACGUAGGGGGCUAGCGUUGUCCGGAUUUAUUGGGCGUAAAGAGCUUGUAGGCGGUUUGUCGCGUCUGCUGUGAAAUUUCGGGGCUCAACCCCCGAACUUGCAGUGGGUACGGGCAGACUAGAGUGUGGUAGGGGAGACUGGAAUUCCUGGUGUAGCGGUGAAAUGCGCAGAUAUCAGGAGGAACACCGGUGGCGAAGGCGGGUCUCUGGGCCGAUACUGACGCUGAGGAGCGAAAGCGUGGGAGCGAACAGG